rnacentral:misc_RNA from 1 species
GUGAAUCAUCGAAUCUUUGAACGCACAUUGCGCCCAUUAGUAUUCUAGUGGGCAUGCCUAUUCGAGCGUCAUUUCGACCCUUAAGCCCUGUUGCUUAGCGUUGGGAGACUGCUAACCCCCCCGGGGGGUGCAGCUCCUCAAAGUUAGUGGCGGAGUUGCAGCACACUCUUAGCGUAGUAAGUUUUACCUCUCGCUUCUGCAGUGGGCGCAGCUACCUGCCGUAAAACUAAGGAGAUCAUAGCGCUCUCCUUUAGUGGUUGACCUCGGAUUAGGUAGGAAUACCCGCUGAACUUAAGCAUAUCAAUAAGCGGAGGA